rnacentral:lncRNA from 1 species
AGGACAUCAUCUGGGAAAUCAGAUGCUGGAAGCCCCCAUCUUUUAUUUUUUUAUGCUAUAGAUCUCUAAACAUUACUUUUAGGCAGUGUUUGGUUCUCUCUGUAAUGGUAGCAGAAAGUCACGGUAAUGCAAUCCGACAGGGCGAAUACAGGAUUUGUUUCAGAGGACCCGUAUCAGUAUUUUUCUAAGACCAAAGACAGCUCGUCAUAUGUUCUCUGAAUUUUUGUGGCGCCCAAUAAUUCAUCCUGCUGCCUUGUUCACUUGAGCUUAUUAGUGGAAUAACCACGAAUCAACCAGCUAUUCAGCAAUGUUUUUCUCUCAAAAAAAAAUCAGCCAACAGAAAACUUUGAAUAGGACAAUUUUGCCCAUCUCUAUACUUUAUACUCUCUCUUCAUCAAUUCCUAGAGUUAUCUAAGUCAAAUUUUUUAAAUUUUAACCAAAAUUCUAUAAAAAAUACUAAAAAUUAUAGUACCAAAUUAGUACCAUUAGACUUAUUAUAAAAUAUAUUUUCAUAAAAUACUCAUUUUAUGUCAUAGAUAAGUUUGACUUGUAUGGAUUCUAGAAAUUGAAGCUUUAAGAGAUAGAAGUAUUUAAGCUUUUAAUGAAAAUUACCCUUUUUAAAAAAAAAGUACAUGAGAAAAACGUUGUACACAGAAACCGUCAAAAUAAUUCUUGUACCUUUUCUAUAUAAAAAAGACAAGCAAUAUAUCCAGGCAAAAAUAAUAAUAACGACUCUAAAUGCUUAAUACAUAGGAGAUCAAAAUUUAUCUGUUCAAGUUUCCUGAUACACAAUAAUAACGACGGAUCAAAACUUUUCCAAUUCAAGUUUCCUGGUACAUAUUCCUUAAGCUCAUCUUCAGCAUACAUAGGAGAGAUAUCAAAAUACAACCACUCAUAACAGGGACUUGGCACGAAGAUGAUCAUGGCAACAUUCUACUAGAGAUGCCACACCAAUGCUAUGAAGCGAACUCUGAGCAUCAGUGCCGCUUCUUGGAAGAAGCACUAGAAUCCGCAUUCUUUUUCCUCUUCUUAAGUAGCUCAAUUUUCUCUUUUUUCUUUUCUUUGCCCAUCUGUGUUCACAAAGAAACAGGACAGUCAUAACAGGCAUCCAAAACAGAUGUUAAUUAUAAUUUGAGAAAAUAGAGAAAGGCAAUAAGAAGCAAGACAAAUCAAAGACUACGAAACUAUUAUAGAACUGUCAACUAAUUACUGAAAAAAUGCCUGUGAAGGUAGAUACUAUCAAAGAGGGAACUCAGAAGUCAACAAGAAAAGCUGUUACUAAUAUCAAUCUAACACUAGACCCUUUUUAACAGGAACGGAAGUUAUUUCCAUAGAGAGCAUUACCAGGACUUGUAACCAUAUUCACAUUAAAAACCAAUAGUGCAUACAGGUAUACAGCAAGAGAGAGUACACAUACCUUCAUAGCUUUAUAAAGGCCUUGCUGCUUGCGAGACAUGAGAGCAGUACCAAUGUCAUCAUCAUCCUUCUCCUCUUGUUUAAUGGCAUCCGCCUCGUGAUCUGACUGAGUAUCAUCUUUGGCAUCUGGUGAUUUAUUUGCUUCCUUAUUUGACAGACUAGAGAAAGCAACACCGUCAAUUUCCAUCUUCAGUUCAUCAUGGUAUUGCUUCUCUAGCAUCUCCAACUAGGGAAAAAGAAAAGACAUGCCGAGAUCAUUACACAAAAUGCAUUCAAUACAAGGAAAAAAGAAGCAUUGCAUACCAUGAUACCACUUAAACUGAAAAGAAACACUACCCACCUUCCUCUUCUUUUCAGCAGCUUCGUUAGAUUCUGUUCGAUCCAUCAUUGCUGCUACCAAUGAAUUGUCUAGAUCUUCAUCACCAAUACCAGGAAGAGGCAAGACCUCAUUGCGAGCAGCAGCUUGCAGCCUCUUUAUUGUUUCUGCAUACUCAGGAAUGUAGCCCUCUGCAUCAUUGUCCACAAAAGGAGACAAAUGUGGUGGAGGUACUCUGCAACAUGAAAAAUAAAAUGUCAUAUACUAGCCUACAAAUUAUUAGUUUUCUUUAUUAUUAUUGCAGUGUGUCAGUGGUGAAAAUUAACUCAAUAUUGUAGCAGCAACAUGUGGUAUAGUUGUAGCAGAACCAAGAAAUUAGUAGCAGUGCUAGCAAAUAGUAAGUAAUAGGCUAAGAGUGCAGCUAGAAAGUUCUAUCAGUAGCAAAUGGAGAGCAACUGGCAAUCUGGGCAUAUGCACCAAAGGAGUGCAGAACUUAGCAAAUUUGUAAUCAUGCCUCAUGCAUCAUAUUAAAUAUACAUUGUCACCAAACAGAUUAUACAGCAUAAGCAAUUACAAUAGCAUAUCUGACAGAAUCCACAUAUGGUGCAAUGGUGAAGUCGCAGUUAUCACAAUCCCCAUGUGACAUACCUUCCAACAAGAUAACCUUCUGUUGGCAAUAUGAUACGAGCGUUUACACAAUCAAAGACCCACUGCGGUUGAACAUACUCCCUGGAGAGGAAAACAUGGCUUUGUGUCGGCCUAUCAACAAUCUGCAUUAUAACAGAAGUGGUAGGUUAAGUAAACUGAGAUGCAACUCAAAGAAACCUAACAAACAAACAAACAUAAAACAACCUUCUAUCAAUGUGGGAAAAAGAAACUCAAUGUAGACAAACGAAACAGUUGUAACAGACAACAGAUAUUCUACUAGGGCAAACACAUGAUAGUGUAUUGGCUUAGAAGGGGGUAACACCAUCACUGAUGAUCCACGCCCCACGUCAGCAAGUCAGUCUCAGCGCAGGCAACGAGUGUGGUAUUGUCACUGUGAAUCAUGUAUCUGUUCAAAGGCAUAUCAUGGACUCUUCAAAAUAGAAGGAUGUAUAGCGUGAGGAUGUGAUAUCAUACUCCUAUUUUUUAUUACAAUAUGAAUACUAGCAAGCAUAAAGAAACUUACACUGACCAUUUGAUUUUACUUCACUUGUGCACUUUUCAUUGAUCACCUUUUAUGUUUACGAAUUACGAGAUAUGAUGGUUCCAAGUGUAAUCUGAACAGGUAGCACAUACAAAAAUUGUAUUGCAGUAAUUAUUGCUCCUAGUAUGGCAUUGCUGCUGUUGUACUUUAGCAUGGCGUCUUACUUUAGAGAUGGUACAUCAAUCUCUCCGUCUAUAUAGUUAAACUUUGGAGUAAUUAUUGCAAAUGGAAUCAACCUGGUGGGUGAUAUCUUCAUCUACUUCUUUAAAUGGAGCUCCUUCUCCUUCCCAUGAAACAGUCCCUCCAAAUGCUGGGAUAAUAAAUAAUAGAGACUCCCUAGGCACCUGAAAGUGCACAUAAAGGAUUAGAAAAAUUGGAAAGAUAUUCAAAUCAGAAAUCAAUUGAUCUGCAACCCCAAAAUAGGCUUGCAGUAAUGACAAAUUCCAAUAGCCUACCUCCCGACUCAGGUAGAACUUUAAGUUCUUAAAUAAACCUUUACAUUCUUUAGUAUCGUCAUCAUCUGCAUCAUCAGCAGUUGAUUCUUCUACAAGAUUCAUCAGUGCACCAGGUUCAUUAGUUGGGAGCUGAUGUUGAAGCUGUGCUAAUCUGAGCUCAGAUUCAUCUGCUUUUGAGCUUGCUUUAUUCUUCACAUCCUUCUCUUCCUCAGUUAUUCCAUCAGCUUUACUCUUCUCAUCCUUAUCCUCCAUUACUUCGUCAGAUUGUGAAUUCCCAAUCAUUCUUCUGGAACCAGCAGACAUGUAUCGGCACAAUGCAUAGAGCUCUGGCACCACGCAACAUGAUGUCAGAAAAGGAGUCCACAUAAAAUUAGAAAACAGAGAAAAAAUAAUAUGGCAGUGUAUACAUCCAAGAAAAUGGACAGAGGUGAUUAAAUAAUAAAUAAUAAUAAGCACCAGAACAUACCAGCAGCUAAAGCUUCCAGACGUGGAUCCAGAAUAGGAGGAUAAUUUACAUUUAUUGAAUGAUAGAGCUUGAAGUUCACAAAUCCUAAAAGAGUCUGCAGGCACAACAGGCUCAGUCAAAAGGUUGAAACAAACAUCACAAAUCGCACUCUUGAACUUUCUAAGAGAGCAUUCAUGAAAAUGUGAACAUAUACGAUGUCAAUAGCCAACUACUUGAAACGAAACUAUGCUCAUGGAUAGAUAACAAAAACCAUGUAAUACCGGUAUAUAGCUUCUAAAACACCGCAUCAGUUAUUGGCAUAAUAUGAUAUCUUGAUUGAAAAUGAAUUGCUCAGCAUCCCUACAAUGGAAAUGUAAGCACUACAAUAUCAUCGCUGUGUCUUGAUCAAUAACCUACAGGAUUCUCAGCCUUUGCAAUUACGGGUUAAAAGGACUAAAGGAGGCUUAUGCACCAAGGAAAACCACAGCACCCUUUUGUCUAUAAUAACAAGCCCAUCUUUGAUGAAAAACAAGACAAAUAACCAAUAAUCAGAAGUCAGAUAAAAUAUACUACCAUAUCAUUAGUCUUGGCCUCAAAUUUACUGACAGUUGAACAAAACAUGAAACACACAAGAACUAAGGAGCUCUCCAUAUUUGUUUACCUCAUAGAAUUCUAGAAAAGAGAGCAUCACAUUGAAAUCAACAUCAUCGGUUAAUACUUGCUGAAGAGCAUGAGGGGUUAGCCAGGUGAUCUUUUGUCCUUGAACUUCAGCCUGCAUUACGUGGCAUAAUCAUGAAUUUUGACCAUCAUGUAUGCAAUGACAGAUAAAAGAACCAUGGGAUACAUAAUUACCUGGAAAUAUAUGCCCUUGACGGAAAUAAAUGUCUUCCUCAGGGAAUGAGUUCGGGAUAUGUAUGCUUGCCAUUCAUGGCUUAACCUACAAACAAAACAUUUCAAAACACAUAAGAUUUGAAAUGACUUCAUCACAUGAGAAGAAAAUAAUAAAUAUCCUCUAUAAAAAAUAAAUGAUGAAAGCACACGCUUUUACAUUUAUAAAAUUGUGAUUUUACUUUGGAUGUGACUUGGUGAGGACCACAAAGUGCAAUCCACAGAUUACAUGCAAAUUUGAAGGUUACCAUGUAGGAUAUUAGAGAAACCUAUAGAAUUUUUGUGAUAAGCCAAAAUUCCAGGCACAAUAUAGCUGUACACAUAGUGACAGCAAAAAUAGGUAUUCAGAGCACAAUCACCUAGUGCACUUGGAAAGAACAUGAGUCUCAGGUCAAGAAAAAGACAUGGUAAUUUUAAACAAAGCAUACCUGCGGCAGUUAUGAAUUCGUUUGACUUCAACGCGUUCACCAUCAACAGCAGGUAAUGCCGCAAACAGAUGCACCAUUGUAAGGCAGUCAUCCAAGUCACGAAGAGCAUCAACAAAUGUUGGAUACCUGUUCGAUAAAGAAAAGAACAGUUGAUGCUGCAUAGAGAGAGUACUCGAUGAACUCAUGGAUAAUCAUGUUUGGUUCGCUUGAUACCUUUCAAGGACAAGCCUAUCAAGUUUGUAAGUUGGUGGCCGAUUCAACAGCCUGUCUGCGAGAUCCCUGUUUUUCUUAGCAACAGCCUUUUUAACCUUCCUUCGAUGGACCUUAAUCUCCCUGAAAUCAAAUGAAAUACGAAUACCAUCAAGGAAUUAAGCACAUUAAACAUAGAAAGUCAGAAUUCUUAGCAUUGUUUUACUGAGAUAAAAUGCAAUAGGAACUAUUCCUCAGGAAAAAUGUAGCAUUCUUAGGAACUAUUCCUCAGCUUUUAGUUCAUUUCCUCAGAAGCCAGAUUUCCAGCUUUACAAAAGCCAGCUCAAGAUCUAGGCUGUUUGUUUCAGCUUCUGGCGUUUGGCUGGGUGAAGCCAGCAAAAAACUGAAACAAACAGGCCCUUAGCAUGAUCUUGUUCACUUGUUCAUAUACUCUAAUCGCUCCUAGAGAAAACAAAUACAGUAUGGCAGUAGUGAAAUAAUUAAUUUUGCUGAUCACAUAGAGCACCUACACCAAGAUUUGUAUCAUAAACAACCGUCUCAUGAUAAUGCAGUCAGAUAUUCAUCGCCAACAAACAAGGAGCCAAGAGGCUACCACUAUUAGGGCCAGUAAGAAGCAGAAGCUGAAACAAACAGCAUGCUUCUGGAGCUUCUUUUGUGGAUUCUGAUAUGAUGUAAUGGUGAGCGCCAGUGAUAUUUCAUAUGUUAUACACUUCAUCAUACAGAAUUUUAAUCCAAAAUCAGCUUUUCCAAAGUGAACAAAAAAAGAUGCUCUUGAUUCAUGCAACCAAACAAAUUAUGGCUCAGGUUAACUAGCAUGAAUAAGAUGCUGUUCAGAUUGGCUAUUCAGCCAUUUAAUAGAUAAGUUCGUUAAAAAUGUUCUUAACCGUUCUAGAAAAAAAAAUGUCUGUUAAAUCUUGAUCCAUCUUUCUUUAGUUGGAAGUGAAUGUUGUUUAUCCUUUUUCUAGUUUUUUCAGGAAAAAAAACAACAGGUAAUGGUUUAGUUGAAGUUGAUUUAGUUCAGCCUAUAUUGUUAAAAGAAUAAAAAUCCAAACAAACCCUAAUACUGUUCCAUUACUUAACACACAUAAAAACCACUUUUCAAACUGAACAUACAUAUACAGAAGUAUUCAUGGAAUAUUGUAGUAUUCUCCAGGCCCUAAAUUGAGGGCGAAGGAAUUAGAGUGACCCCCUCUGUAGCCUCCCUGAACCGAAUAUUGUGGCACAAAUAUUUGGUAUGAAAAGCUACCUGAACUUCUCGAUCAAAGGGUCAUGAGCAAGGAAUGCAAUAUCCUUCGUGUGGUAGUAGGUCUUGUGGUUCCCUUCCACCUUCUUCUUUGGCUGCCGCGGAAAGACACCCUUUAGAAUGCAUAGCUUCCUGCAAUAAAUAGGAAAAUGACAAUAUAUAAAUGGAGUUCAAGGAUUCGAACUAACACGAGCCAUGUAGAAGACAGUGGCUACAUAACGGACAUAACAAAUAGUAGUAAUUAAGCUUAAUGGACAAAUAACUGCAAAAAUGACUAAAUUUCCGAGUUACAGCAUAUAUGAUUGGCAUCAGCAUACGAGCUUAUUCAAAAUAGUACGCCGUCUAGGUGACGGCUCGCCGGCAAUAAACAGUGGUAGUCGGGAGAUAGUGACGAACCUGAAGAUUGCGAGGCUAACUUGCAGGUAGUUGACCGCCUUGGUCCUCGUGAUGUACUUUGCCGCAUUCCCCUCCUUCUUCUUACCCUAAGACAUGGCAAGAACAGCACGUCAGAGACCACGGCACAUCACAAAGAGAAAGUCCUUUGAGAGGCAGGAAGAACCAGGGCGAUGAGACGAUUACCGCAGGGCGGUAGUGCUUCGGCAUGGCGGCGGCGGCGGAGGUCGCUCCCCGUGCCGGGAAAGGGAGGGGAAAAGAGAGGAGUAGAUGGGUUUUAGGGUUUUGGUUUAUAUGCCGGCGGGACGAGGCGGCUUUGGCACUUGGGCUGAAGAAGUGAAGAUGUCGGCCUGCCCAGCGUCUGCUCGCAGAGUUUUUCCCAUUUUUUUAUAGAAAACUAGUGAACUGCCCGUGCGUUGCUACGGGUAUACAUAGGCUAUGACCCUAGUACAUGUAAAACAUAGGAAAAAUCACAUGAACCACAAACAAUUAACACAGAAACACAUAGGUCAGCCCAAUUUCUUUGUAUCAAAGAAAGCACAAAGUUCAUAAUCAAAGCGAACAAAGGUUAGAUAUUUAUCUUUACAGAAAAGAGACAUGUUAGAAAUGAUAAUGACAAUCAAAGUGAACAAAGGUUAAAUAUUUAUCGUUACAGAAAAGAGACAUGUUAGAAAUGAUAAUGACAUCUUAUCUGCCUCCUCUAUUACCCCAAAUACAAAUGGAUACAAUACAAGUUAUUCUAUAUUACUUUUGCCUCCUCUAUUACUUGAAAUUGCUCUAUCCUAGCUCUCGCCACUUCCAACAGGCAUCGCCACCAUCAGCUUGCCUCCUCACCUCACAGUCACAGCAAAAAGUCAUGGUCCUCCAUGCUCCAUUACCAGAAUGUUGUACCACGCCCCACCUUCACGCCUCCAUGGAUCUGGUCAUGGACCCAUCACCGUCAAUGAACCGCACAUUGUGCAUAUAGGGUAGAAAAAUAGAUACUUGCUUAUGCUGUCGACAACUCAAGCAUCAUUUCGUAUACAUCAAUAUGCGAGUCUAUUAAAUUUAACUAAGAAAAUAUAAGUAUUAUUAUAUGCAAACAAACAACUGUUAUUCAAAUAUUGUCAAUGGAUAUGGAUACUUACAAGGAAAUAUUAAAUAUCUCACAAGCAAUAUGUCUAGUAAAUCAAAAUCAACUACAGGAAUGGAUCUUAACUUAUUAAGUGCCUGAUCUAGGUUUUGAAUCAGUAGUUAGUUUUCGCUCAGAUAAACAAAGUUUCAGCACCAACAAAUAUAAUAGCAACAUGUUAUAGGAGAGCGUAACCGAUAUACAUGAACCAAGCACUAACAGGAUCAAUCUGUUCUAUGAGCAAAUAGGUCAUGACUACCUGAUGAUUGUGCAGAGAAACAAGAAAGUGAUAGGUCACAACCUGAGACUGCACUUUGACUCCUUGCAUGUAAAGGUUUUUUUUUCGCUAACACGCCCGCCCCAGAAUGGACGUGUAUUUCAUUAAGCAGAAGUAGAAUCCAACCCAAAUACAGUUAAAAGAAACUAUUUGAAGAUAGGACACCAACUGUGUGUACCCAGGAAAGACUAAACUAUCUGAAGAUAGGACACCAUAUCCUAUUUGAACUACACUGAAAAUACAGAACCUGAAAACAUAGAUAGAGCAAGAAAUUCGGAAAACUUUGAAAUGCAGAACCGAUGCAACUGUAUAAGAAACAUUUGGCAGCUGCUACGGUCAGCUCAUUAAACUAUUCGGCUUGCAGCUUGAGCAGAAUUCUCCAUAAAGUAUAUAAUCAACUAACAAAUACGAUGUAGUAUCAUGAAUCAAUUUAGUUGCAUCAAAAUAAUCCCUUUGAGUGCAGCUAAAGCUCUAAAGGUCCAAUCCUAGUGUCAUACUACUAAACCCUAAAGAUAUGACAUUUUGAUAACACAAAUUACAGAGCACCUAUAAGACUAUAAUAUGGCCCAAAUCUAAAGCAAAUUUAAUACUAAACUUGAACACGUCUAAUAAAUUAAAAAUAAGACUGCAAUACUCCCAAAAAGCACGUUCAAGUAACCUUCAAACUGAAGCAAACUUAAUUAGCAUUUGUUGAUGCCACUGAAGCAAAAACAUAUAAUAAGCAGAUGGCGUACAACAGUGGAAAAUAAAAGAAGGUUCUUCAUUUUGACAAUAAAAUCAAUGUUGGAUACGGUGUAAAUAUAACCAAAAGACUGAAUUUGUCUGGCAAUUUCGCAAUACAGAUGAUAGCACACAUCAGUUCAGAUACAAACCUAUAAAUUCCGAUGCACUGAUGCUCCUGCCUCUUAUAGACUCACUCACUCAUCCUCCUUUCUUUGCAGUUUUACUUUGGUGUCAAAUGGAACAAUAAAUUAGCUUACAAGAUGGAACAAAAUAGUCCAGAUGCAAUAAGUAUAUGGGCUUACAUGUUACUGAUCCAAUGAAGCGCUAACCAUCUUGUUUAGUACUGUAUGGCCGAUGUUAUCUGAUUAAAACAAUAGCAGUACUUCAGCAGCAAGAAAUCAACAAUCAAAAUAUCAGGUAAGUAAUGAGAUAUCUGAAUAUGUAGUCAGUAAAAUUUUAACUAUAAUUUGCAACAAUUUACUGAUGCAGAUGACCCAUAGAUGGAAUUUAUUUUUGUAAUGUGACACCUGCAUCCAACCACAUAAUAUGAUGAAUUAAAAAAAGUCAUAUGUAUGCAAUAGUUGAGUUCUGUAGUGAUCUGGUUAUUAAUUUAUACUCAGAGCAUGAAUAUAUACGAUUGCAACGCAUGGGCACUUGAUUUAUAGCUUAUGAAAAAUAGCAUUAUAAUUUGCACUCUUUCGAGUAUAUAAGGUCAGGGCUGAUCAAUCAGCAACUGUGGUCCUCCGCAGAUCUCCACGAUUCCAUUGGUCAGUCUAAGUAGCAGUGUAGAAAGAAGAAAACUAACCAUAAAAAGGCUUAUGUGUGGCAUGAAUGCAACAGAAGUUAUAGAUGACAACUUGAACAAAAAAAUCCUAUUCGGAGCCAUAUCUAUGAUUGAUAUGCUAUUUGCAAUCACUGCAGAAAGAGCGAAACUUAUAUUGUUUUGUUUUGUUCAAGUGGCGAGUAAGAUGAUUGUGCCUUGAAGAAAUUAACUCUUCUGCAAUAAGCAAAGCAGUGUCGUUUUUUCCCUAGCCUAACCAUGUAGGAUAAAGCAUUGUCACAGGUGUGUACCUGACACUGAGAAGAGAUGGGAGAUUGUCUGAGCGAGGCAGUGGUGUUCGCGGGGAAGGGGCAGGGAGACUAUCAGCAUGCUUCAAUAGCGGCGUGCGACCGCCUAUCUUCCCUUCCCGACAGCAGGCUCGCCCGGCGGUGUGGAGACACGCGAGCUCCGGUGAAGGAGUUGAAUGGAGCAUUUGACCUUCGACCCUGGCUCGGGGAAACGCGAGCAGGCCACAACUCGGGGAACCGUACGGGAGGCGACGGCGGCGAGGCGAUGUCGCAGCGAGGCCACAGCGACCGUUGCCGCUCGAUUCGCCUGCUGCCUGUUUCUUAGUGCACGGCAACAGCGGCAUGGCGAGGUUGUGCAGCGGCUUCACGGUCGCGGACGCAGGGGUCGUAGGUGUCGCCGCCGGCGAGGUCAUCCAGCGGCGUCGCGGUCAUUGGCGAGGUCGUCCGGCGGUGUCGGGGUCGCAGGCGUCGCGUUGUCCAGCAGCAGCACGGCUGUGGUGUCUUGGCGUGGUGGUCUGGCGGCGGUUCCUUAGAGGCUUAGGCCAUGUUUAGAUUGGAGAUGAAAAUUUUUUGGGUGUCACAUCGGAUGUGUCGGAAGGAUGUCGGGAGAAGUUUUUAGAAACUAAUAAAAAAACAAAUUAGAUAGCUCAUCAGUAAACUACAAGACAAAUCUAUUAAGCAUAAUUAAUCUAUUAUUAGCACAUGUGAGUUACUGUAGCACUUAAGGCUGAUUAUGGAGUAACUAGGCUUAAAAGAUUCAUCUCACAUUUUUUAAUUAAACUGUGUAAUUAGUUUAUUUUUUAUGUACAUUUAAUGUUCCAUGCAUGUGUCCAAAAAUUUGAUGGGAUGGACGAAAAAAAUUUGGAUGGGGAACUAAACAGGGCCUUAGAUCUGAGCUGGGGUGGGCGUAGUGAGCGAGAGAUUCUUUUUGAGGAGACAAUAGGGAGAGGGGAGACUGCGUGGGAGGAAGUUUUUUUUUCGAGCGUCGGGAUUAGGGGAGGCAGGCCGAUUAGUUGUAGUAUGACGAUAUCACUUGGGGUUUUUUAGUUGUAGAGAUAUAAUAUAUUUAGACUUGUUUGGCAUAGCUCAACUCUAAUAAUAAUGUUGUUUUUAAAAAAAUAGCUUUAUGAGCAACUUUAUAGGUGAAGUUGAGAUAUUUUAAAAAAAAGAUUUUGAUAAAAUAGCUUCAUCAACUACUUUAUGUAUAGAUGAGAGAGGAAUGGGGGAGGGAGCUGUAAUAAGGCCUUGUUUAGUUUUGGGGGUUUAGGUACUAUAGCACUUUCGUUUUAUUUUACAAUUGUUGUCUAAUUAUGGACUAACUAGGCUCAAAAAAUUAUCUUGUACAGGCAAACUAUGUAAUUAGUUUUUGUUUUCAUCUGUAUUUAAUGCUCUAUGCAUGUGUCACAAGAUUCGAUGUGACGGAGAAUCUUGAAAAGUUCUUGGUUUUUGAGGUGAACUAAACAAGACAUAAGCUACUUUUUUCAGUUUCAUCCUAGGCCUUGUUUAGUUCCAAAAUAUUUUGCAAAAUCGACACUAUAGCUCUUUCGUUUGUAUUUGACAAAUAUUGUCCAAUCAUGGACUAACUAGGCUCAAAAGAUUCGUCUCGUCAAUUUCGACCAAAUUGUGCAAUUAGUUUUUAUUUUUAUCUAUAUUUAAUACUUCAUGCAUGUGUCUAAAGAUUCGAUGUGACGGAGAAUCUGAAAAAUUUUGCAAAAUUUUUUGGAACUAAACAAGGCCCUAACUCAUGUCUUUAUGAGGGGAGAAAAAAAUAGCUUCACCCAUAAAAUUAUUUUAGAAAUAAAUGUUUGACAAAAAACAGUUUAUAAAGCUAUUGUGAGCUAUACUAAACAGACUAUUAAUAGUCUUAUCCAAAUAAUCAAAUGAAAGUGGGAAACGGUGCAUGCAAAAUUAAGCCCGGCAUGAUAUUCAAUCUAUGCUCGGGUCUCACAACUAGUCUAAACAGGUCUAUAUCACCACCUUGCCUAAGCGAGACCCUAAGGGCGAGCGGUGCCAUGGCUGCACUAUUCUAUAUUGUCAUUUGUGAGUUGAAAUGACAUAAUUGCUUAAGUUUGAGGAAUUAUUUAAAUAAAUAAUUUAUGACUUUAGAGGCUGAGAUCACACGAUGAAACAAUUUUAAAGGUAGAAACAAGUAACAUGUGAGUUCAAAGACCGAGAUAACUCAACUAAGCAAGUUUAAAAACUAGCAAUGCACUUUACUCUUCUAAUUUAAGAACCAAGUGAUAGUGUGGCGAGUGGUACAUUUACCGAAUAAUGCCUCCCCAAAGCUGCCUCCCCAAAGCAUAAAUGAUAUUUUUAAUAGAUGGUCAGAGAGGGCUAAUAAGAAACAUAACACGUUAUUUUUGACAAUAGCGCACUUUAUUAAAUAGUUUAGCUGAAACAAGGUGGUUUUUGAUAACCGUAGACCAAAUUUUUUGAUAACCGUAGACCAAAAUUUUUUUAUAGGUACUUUAGCUUCGGCAAUGGGCUGUGAUGAUCAACAAGAUCAGCUUGCCUUGGUUGGGCAGCAUCUAGAGACGUGAGCCUUGCAUUUCUUUACUUUCAAUUGAUGACUGUCAACUAGAUUUUUUAGCUGAUUUUUUAGCUUUACGAGCCUGUUCGCUGGUCUGAAAAGUCAUGUCUGAAAGUAUCGUUUGCUGAUUUAUUAUGAGAGAAAAAACACUGCUAUGUGGCAUAAAAGGUACGGCUUAUAAGACAAGCAAAUGGAGCUAGUCAAUACUUUACCUUAUUUUUAUAUUUUCCUUAUGUUUUGUUGUAAGUUGGAAUACACUAUAGCUUGCGCGCUAGCCUACAGGCUAAAAUUUGUAAUAAUUAACCUGAUUAUAUAUUUAUAUUGGUUGAUAGAUGAAGUUAAACAUAAACUAUUCUUUAUUUAUUUUUAAAAAUUUACAAAAGUUGUUUCAUCCUUUGCCCGCUAACGAUCAAACUCUAGUUUUGACUCAUUUUUCUAUUUGUAGGCAGCACAGUCAUGCCUCCAUGACGACGGUGAUGGAAGUGAGCCCCCCCCCCGGCGAUGUUUCCCAUGUGGUAGGGUAAAAAUAAAUAAAAAAUGGUAACCACAAAUAUGAAAAUAGAAACAUUUUGGGCCCCUAACGGUUAUUGGUUUAUUUUACUCCCACAUCACUAUCAUUGGGUAUUUGAAUCUCCCAUAAGGCCGAUGCCAUAUUUAUUUAAUAGAUAACAUAUUUGAUUUGUUCACGAGGGAAAAUGUGAAACUUUCAUGGUCUAUUUGUUAUGGCGAAUGAAUUCACCCGACAUGAGCUUGUCAAAAACAGAAUGAGUCAAUCUGGAACUUUCAUGGUAUAAUGUAGUUGUUGGUUCGAUCUGUUAGAAUUAACUCUCUGAGGAAGCACUCGGCGAUGAACGGUGUGAUUCCACGCUUCAAACCAAAUAUAAUAUUCAAUUUGUUAGCUUCAGCUGUAGGUUCGAAUCAUUAUAGAUUGCCUUGUUCUGUAUAAACCAAACAUGGUGUAAACAUGGGGCUUUUCUAGUUGUUUCUUAUCAUUUGAACACAAUGAUAUUUCUUGUGACUUUUUUUUUACUUUUACGAUCUACUACCUCUAUUCUAAAUUAUAAGUUAUUUUAAUUUUUCUAGAUUUAUAAGUUUUACUAUAUAUCCCUAAAUGCAUAGCAAAAGUUAUACACAUAAAAAAGCCAAAACGGCUUACAAAUUGAAAUAGAGAGACUACUAUCGAAGACCUUUGUAUGAUGUAUGACAGAUAGAUUGGACGUGCAUACUCCAUAAGAAAAGGUUUGCACGCAGGUGUUUCACAAAAUUUAUUUUUAACCCUCUCAUAAACUUUCUAUACUUCUUUCUCUAUAGUUCUUUUUUUGAGAAACCUAUACUUCUCUUUAAUUUUGAUCCUAGCGGCCCAUCUUUGACCACGCUCAAUGGGCCAGAUCCAUGCAAAGCCCGCAAAGACCGCGUCUUUUGCAAACCUGUUUUCAGAAUCUUGUCCCGAAACCCGCGGGCCCACCUGCCAGUGAGGCAUCGCCCACGAAAUCCAGCAGCGAAAGAACCAGCGCGGCAGCAGCUCCCGCGGUUUCUUUUUUUUCGCGGCGCGCCAUUACGAAAAAGCUCUUCCCGCCGGCGCGCCCCGCGCGACAGAAUCCUCCUCCAUUAAACCCCUCGCGCUCAAUGCCUGCCCGCCAUUUCCUUUCCCUCUCUCCGUCAGCGCCUCUGCCCAUCUCUCUCUCUCAUCUCUCUGACUCAUGGCGACGCGGCGGCGCCUCUCUCCGACUUUCUUCGGCGGUCUACGGGCCCGGGAGCUCGGCGGCGCCAGUGGCUGCUCCCGCGCCAUGGCGGGGCUCCCGUACCUCGCUGACCUCUCCUCCGACCCCGGCGGCCGUGGCGGCGGGGUCAUAGCCGUCGACCACUCCGGCGACGCCGCCAUCCCCUUCGCCAUCUCCUUCGGCAAGGUUCGGAGCCUGGGAUCUGUCCCCCCCCCCCCCCCCCCCCCUCCUAAACAAGGGAUCUCUCAUUUCUCGCGUGCUUUUGCAAAGUCAAACCUUCUUUCUAGCUGCUAUUUGCGAGUACCAAUCUUUUGAUGAAAUUGCCUCGUUCGUCCAGACUGCACAGACCUGUAACCUCCUGGCGGUCGCCGACGAAGACGGGUACGUUGGCCUCUACGACACCCGCCGGCGCCUCCCUUCCGCAUCCUCGUCAAUAGAGAAGUCAGGUGGGUUGGAAACCUUCACUGCUCCCCCGAUUCGAUCCAAGAUUUGGGUGUGCUAGACCUUACGCCGGGUACCUCGUGCGAUCCGUUCUGUUCCAAUCUGACGUCGUCCUUUGCAGCUGAAACGAGGGUGUCCGACUGGGUUGCUCACAACAAUGCAAUCUUUGACGUGUGCUGGAUCAAGGUAAAUUCACUUGCACUGAUUGGAACACUCCAACGAAAUAGCCGCUCCUCAGGUUAAAAUUUCAUCAAUAUGUGUACCUUUCUGACGGAGUUUCAAUCUUAUGUGUUACUAAUGUAGGAGGGAUCCCAAAUGCUGACUGCAUCGGGCGAUCAAACUGUAAGUCGCAACAGGAUCACACCAAUUAUUGAACUAUGAAUUCAUUGUAUUAUGCAAAAUCUCAUUACUAUCGUUCUGCAUCAGGUCAAAAUAUGGAGUGUAGGAAACAGGAAAUGCAUUGGUGUCUUGUCAGGACAUACUGGGAGUGUGAAGUCGCUGUCUUGCCAUUCUUCAAAUCCUGGUUAGUAAUGUAUAUCCUGAAUGGCUGAAGCCUUUCAGUUUACUUUUAUGCAGAUUUAAUCCUCAAAGGUUGGCCACAAACUCCUGUUUAAGUAGUUUAUUUUCUUUGCAGAGCUCAUUGUUUCUGGUUCAAGGGAUGGUUCAUUUGCUCUUUGGGAUCUAAGAUGCGACCCUAAAUCUCCAAACAGCCAUGGUGAAACGUGCCUCACGUAUGUUGCCUAUUGCUAGUAAAUGUUCUCUUUAAACUACAAAUUAAGUGAUCAUAAAUGUUUGUAGCGACAAUACAAAUUCAUUGAACAAAGUUCUGCUACAUGUUAGGUCUUCUGCUGUUGUCAGAGAAGCCCACAGUCCCAUACAGAGGAACCGAACCCGGUCUCGAGCAAAGGUAUUAAAUUGGCAUGAUAUGGCUUUUGCUUGUGACGAUCUUAUGUCCUCUUAUGCCCUCUUAUGCUUAUGUUGGUUUGCUGAAAUUGGUGAAUUUAGGCGGCUUCAACAAGUAUCACAUCAGUUCUUUAUCUGAAAGAUGAUGUCUCCAUUGCUACUUCUGGAGCUGCAGACAAGUAAGCUGCUCUUUCAUUUUUAUUCUGCUUUUUAUUUUUUAACCAACCUUCACAGUUUUUGUAUGGUUUGUAUAGUUUUAUUAAUUGCUAUGUUAUUUUAAACACAAUGCACUUACCUGACGAUGAGUUAGCCUCAUGUCAUCUACUCAUUCUGUUUCUUAAAAAAAUCAGUUUUGUAGAGUAAUUAUCAUAUUUUCAUGUAUCUUGAAAUACUAAUAUUGUACUUUUUUAAAUGUACGCCAGUGUUGUGAAGAUAUGGGAUACACGGAACCUGAAAGUGCCGGUCUCUAACAAAAGCUCUCAAGCAGGGGCCCAGCCUUUGGUAAACAUCUCUAUCCACUAAUGAAUGUUAAACUAGUAGUACAAAAAAAGCACAUUAUCUAAAAAAGUACAAAAAACAAUAGGGAAUUGUGUAUUUCAGAGUAUAAACAUGUAUGCCAAUUUGAAUCAAUAAUUACAGAGUGCUGUGUUUUCAUAGCUCAAUCUGAACAAACUUGGUCCUUUGUUUCUGAAGGAGGGGGUGAAACAUGGCAUCUCUUGCCUGUCUCAAGAUUCGUGUGGUGCAUACAUUGCUGCGUCAUGUAUGGAUAACAGGUAAAUUCAGACCCUGUCAUCAGACACUAAAAUUUUUUCAUGCUAUUGGUAAAUACUGAUUUUGACCGUAUGCAUUUCAGAAUCUAUUUGUACAGUGUUCUCCAUGUGAACAAGGGUCCCAUAAAGGCUUACACUGGCAGCAAAAUAGAGUCUUUCUUUGUCAAGGUCAGUGAGUGGCUAUCUUGGGCUGACUUCCUUUAAAUGUCGAGCUGCUUAUGUUUAGUUUGAUCAAUAUUUGUUCUGAAACACCUAAACUUUGUAUCAUGCAGUCUGCUAUCAGUCCUGAUGGAACUCACAUCCUUGGUGGAUCAAGUGAUGGAAAUGUAUACCUGUGGCAGGUACUUGUCGCAGAUCUGUUGCCUGCUUUCUUACACUAUACUACAUCAUUAUAAUAUUUACAUCCAUGCUUGUCCAUUGACAUAGGUGGAUCGACCUGAAAGUGCUCCUAUAGUUUUGAAAGGCCAUGAAGGCGAAGCAACUUCGGUUGACUGGUACGAUCUACAAACAUAAAUAUUUCUGUGGAACCCUUACUGAUAACCCAAUCCUCAUGCUUCAAUAUGAAUUUAUAUUUCAGGUGUGCAUCAGAGGUUGGAAAGAUAGCAACAUCUUCUGAUGAUUCUACGGUAAGUCUACUUGGUUAUGCCUGAAUUUUUUUUCUUGACACAUACUAAAGAUGGCUCCAUUUGUUCAAUAUAUCAUAUGUGUUUGCGACAGUCUGUUGUAGACAAGAGCAUCUACAAUUUUUGUGCAAAGCAAUGCAUAUCAGAGUAUGAAAUGAAUCAGAAUUCAGAACAUGUGACAAUUCUGUAUUCUGUGUAUCAGGUACGUGUGUGGAGUACCAAGAAAAUGGACUGCACAAAUGUAAGCUCACCAACAGUGAUUCGGAAGCGGAUAACUGCACCAAACACUGAGUACCGAAGGUCCAGUAGCCAUGAGCAUGCUACUACAUCAAGAGAUGCAGUUGCCUGCACUAGUGGUGAUGGUGAAUUGCAAAGUGGUUGCCACUCUCCCCUUCAACCCAGAGCACUGGACUUCGGCACUCCUGAAUCGACAAAGAAGAGGGCCUUCACAUUGGUCCAGGAGGAGGCCCUUGAUGCAAGGAAGAGCCCGGAAGUUCAGAUGAACAGUCCCUCUUCUGUUCUGAGCCCACCACCGUCAUUGAAACGGAGAACGAUUCGGGACUACUUUGCCAGUGCUGCAUCUUGAAUCCUGACAAAUAGCUGGUCCUCAGAAUUCUUAGUGGCCCUGACCCAUGAAGACUAGGGCUUUCUUUAACUUAACUUAUGGUGAAACAGCUCCAAAUUUUGGGAAAUUCUUCUGUAGGUCUAGUUGUGUGAAGUUCAUUAUUGAUCAUUUGGAAAUGCGGUUGUACAUAAUUUGGUAUUGCAGAACCACCCUCUUUACUUUGUAAUAUUGUUUUUUUUUUUCAAUUGAGCUCGGUCUGACAGAAUUGCAGAAAUAUUUCAAUCAAUCUCUAUAAAUUCAAAGGGCAUCUUCAGUUAAAGCUUGCAUGCAACCGUAAAAUUUCCUGGUGAGGUAGGCGUCUUCGAGACUUAGAGCACAGAGAGCACUGUGCUUUGUCAUGCGUCAUUUACUCGUUUUAGAGCUAUGAAGCAUCGCCAAAUUUGUAUCCAAUUCAACCCCCGUCUUGGAUCAUAGGAUUGUUUUUUUUUAGAAAACAGGAGGAGCUUACACCCCUACUGAAGUUUAUUAAAAUUAAAAAAAGAAAGAAAAAGAGUACAUGAGAAGUUCAGAGUUUGCAAUAGUUAUUGCAAAAGUGUCCGUUGGGAAUUUAUUCAUUUAAUAUAGUCAUUGGAAACAUUGUCAGUUUGUCACUGCAAAAGUAGCCAUCGAAAUUACGAAGUAUAUUCCUACAAAUUAUACCCAUUCAAAUUGACACGAUUAAAAUUAACUGUUUCAGUGGAAAUACUAAGCUAAAUAAAGAAGUUAUUGGAGUGGGCUCAAAAAUAGAGAGCCAGCAAGUCUGAAAUAGCAAAAUAUGUUGUUGCUUUAUGGCAUAGAGAUACUCCUGCAGGCUGGAGAGAAGGGUGAUGAACUGGUUAUUUGAAUCCUACGAAGCUCCCAGUCAAUUUGAAUUUGAAUUCUCUAACACGACAGUACAACAUCUACUGGGCCAUAAGUUACCAACCAACUACGCUAGCCGACUCGGCCACCGUCUGCUGUCUGGCGCUGUCCAUGCACAUGUGCACACAUGUACACCGCUUGGCGCUGGCACGCACCCAACGACACACCUGACAGCCCGGGACUCCCGCCUCCGGCCCGCGCGUGCCGUGUCAGCCUCCGUCGAGCGGUGUACUCCAUGCAAGCCUCCACCCCGGCCACGUACCCCCCUCCCUUCCCCUACGUGUCACCGCUCUCGCCACCUAUAUACGGCGGCGGCCUCGGCCAGGCCUUUCCACUUCACUUCUCCCUCCUGCAACUGCAAAGCUCCUUGAUCCACCCUCGAUCACUCACUCCACCACCGCGGCCGCAGCGCGCGCGCACCGCGCAAACAACCAACUCGGCAGCGACAGCAAUGGCGGAUCGCGACCGCAGCGGCAUCUACGGCGGCACCUACGGGCAGCAUCAGCAGGGGGGCGGCCGCCCGAUGGGUGAGCAGGUGAAGGGCAUGAUCCAGGACAAGGGUCCCACGGCGUCGCAGGCGCUGACGGUGGCGACGCUGUUCCCGCUGGGCGGGCUGCUGCUGGUGCUGUCGGGCCUGGCGCUGGCGGCCUCCGUGGUGGGGCUGGCGCUGGCCACGCCCGUGUUCCUGCUCUUCAGCCCCGUGCUCGUCCCGGCCGCGCUGCUCAUCGGGACGGCCGUGACGGGGUUCCUCACGUCGGGCGCGCUGGGGCUCGGGGGACUCUCCUCGCUCACGUGCCUCGCCAACACGGCGCGGCAGGCGUUCCAGCGCACCCCGGA